GAUAAGACUGGAGUUCUCAUUAGCAAAGUCCAAAAACCCACCAAACACGUCACCAGUCUUUUUAAAGAUAUUUGCAUUCACUAAAUACAGAGCUAAGUUCCUUAAUUUAAUCCAUCCACCAUAAGACGACAUAACCAGCAUUCUUCCAUGUAUUUUUGGAUCCCAUGUUUCCAGUUUCAGCGUUAGAGGCAUAUAAGUAGCCCAUCCCUUAUUCAUCGUGAGAAGUCUAGCCAUCGUUUGGGUUUGGGCAUUUGAGCAGGGCUUUAUCAUGAGGAUGGAAAGGGUUGUGACGAAGGAACAUUGGGUCUGCAUUUCAAUGACAUCGAUUCUGCUCUAGCCAUCGUGGAAGUCAUGUUUGGUGACAAUCAAUAUGCCCUCCGAGUAAAUGUUUCUGUCUUUUUGUGCAGGCAACUAAUCGAAGCUCGUAAGCGGUUGGAUGUUAAGGCAGGGAACGUAAUGUCCAGAGGAGGAUCGAAUGGGGGAUGGUUUGCGGUUUUGGUCCUUGAGCACAUGUUUAAUUUCUCCUUUCAACUGGGAGGGUCCUUGAGCUCUCUCAUACAUUCAGGAAAUCGAGCAGCAUGCUUCUAAAACAUCCUUUAAAAUCAAUGCUAGGAGGAAUGACUAAAUUUCCUUUUCUUUUUUUUUUUUUCCAAAUUUCAAUACUUUUGUGACUUCUAAGAAGCAUCCUCUCUUGUUAGUCAUUUGUUGUACCUAGAUAAGACCUCCAUUUCAAAGACUUCAAUUUUUUGGGGUUCUUGGGGGCUUGUAAGACUUCCUCGAGAGAAUUAAUAAACCAAACAAUGUUAGUUUCCUCUCCUGUGAGCAUGUAAGUUUUGAUUUGGUGAGCUUCUGAUAUCCGAAUCUCUUUCCCAUUACUAUUUCUGUCGAACUCGCAAGUGAAGGACUUGUUCUCAAUCCUUGUUGAGAGCUUUCUUGAGGCAGUUAUGUCUUGGAGAGGGUUCUCCAAGAUCAACGAACGAAGAUGACGAGGUGACAGAGGUGGGUGGCUGGGCAGUGGCAUUGGACCGCAGCAUCGUGAGAUGAAGAGUUAUUCAUCCCAGCGUCGGCGAUGCGGUCCUUAUACCUUUUGGAGUCCUAGGUAGCUCUCAAUUCUCAUUUGUGUGCAGCAGAGGAAAAUUGCAAUCAACAGAGUUCCAUAAAAAAGGACAAAAAUAUAUUGAAGCCUAUUGUGAGAGAGACAAUAUGCAAUUUAUCUCUUCUUGCAUGAACCAUGUGAUGUUGAGACUGUCCUUUGAUUGGUAUUGUUAGAGCACCAUCAUGACAUAAACCAGUAUAACUGCGCAAGGAAAAGUUUGCUGCCAAAUAAUUAGUCCUUUUAAGUUCUAAACCAAUUUUACCUUGCUUUUGUUUUUUUAAUAUUUACCAUGCUUGGCUUUUUUACCCCAAUCUCAUUAGAAAUUGAGCUUUAUAUAUGCAAUUUACUACAAGGUUUUGCUGUUUAUGACUAAGCUAAUUAAAUUAUUGUUUUAACUUUUCAAAGUUAAUGUGCACACAUUUCAAUUACAAUUAAAUUGCAAGACUACUUGUGUAGCAAGGCUUUGAAUAAAUUCCUCUGAAUUUACCAUCUA